CGCAGCGAACACACAGGGAGCUUGCUCCCAGAUAUGCUGCGGGGAAAGUCCCCGUGCCUUGGGGCAGAAAGUGCCACUGGGAGACCAGAAGACCUUGGCACUAGAGCCAUCAGCGAAGCACAAGUGGAGUUGUGGUUCUGGUGUUUUGGUCCUUUGCAGCAGCAAAGUCAUGCCGUGAGCGUUUGCAAGAACGCCAACC
rnacentral:RNase_MRP_RNA from 1 species